CUUGGACUCAAUGAAUUCUUUAAACAAACUUAAAUAUUAGAACAGCCAAGAAAACAUAAUACACUGUACAGUCUUGUAAUCUCACAUGAAACAGAGGCAAGGACUUGAAAAUUAUAGUCUGUUGGCUAAAAAGAAUAUACUAACAUAAAGUCUCCCAGCCAAAUCUGGCUUGCAUAAGCCCUUGAAUAGAGCCAAUUAAGCCCAUAAUUGACACAAGAAGGCAAACCAAGCUAAACGUCCUAAGAACAACCCAUUUUGCUGUCCAAGCCCUAAUUUUCUUUUGUACAAAGUACAUUUCCACAGGAAAAUAUAUGGCCAAAGGCCAAAAGUUCAAAGCCCCAAGCACCGCUAGAACUUGGUUAAAGUAAGGGAAGGCCAUUGCAAUAGCUGUUGUUGAAGCAACAUAUGCAGUUCUGAAACAUAGCCUCAGAAGAUUCAUUUGAAGAGGAGGAAACAAUGGAAGUUUCAAUGGGUAAAAUUUAUUUACAAAAUGGCUCCUUGGAUAUUUCUUAGCAAACCAACCUUCCACAAAUGCAAACACUGGCUGACUAUAUAUCUGAUAUCCUCCCACCAAAUGAAGCACAAUGCAAGCAUUUGCAAAGUCAAUGAGCCAAUACGGCUCAAAAAAUCCAAAUCCCGUUAAGAGAUUUCCAGGAGUUUCAUUGCCAAAGGCAGCAUAUCCAAAGCAUCCACAGCAAAGGUAAAAGAAAGAUGUAAUAAAUACUGCCAUCACAGAGGCCUUCUUCAUGGUCUUGUUCUCUGGUGGAGGUGAUUUCAAUGUAUCCUUCAUUGUAUAAUUUUAAUAUCUUGGGUCACUUUUAUCUCCAACAGUUAAUUAAUUAGCCAAACAAUAUAUAUCUCAAGUUUGAAAAAUUAAGAAGCCAAACCUGGAUCUCAAGAACAAUAAGUGUAUAUGGAUACGCAAAAGCAAUAUCUCCCAGUGCUUCAAAGGCUAACCAUAGUUUAUCACUAAAAUUACUAGCUGGGACUCCACUAAUGCUUCCCUCAAUCCUUCCAUUUUCUAUUACUUUUGCAAAGCCAAGACCAAAUCCUAUAAAGGAAUAAGCAAAGGACAUGAUUGCCGCAAUUAUAGAGAGCCAUUCCAUUUCAUGAAAAUUUGGUAUUUGAGAUGCUACUAUCUGAAUCACACCAAAAAGAAGCAUGAACAUAGUAUCCCCAUAUCUACAUGGAGCUUUAUGCCCUUCUCUGUGGUAGCAAUUUGACCUUAGAAUUGCUUUUACACUGGUAGCAGACGUAAUAGUAUAUGCAAUUCCACAGCCAUAAAAGCUCUCCUGUGCAAAUAUUCCACAUGCUUGUUGGCUCCUCUCACCCAAAUACAAUCCAACAGCUUCCAUGUAGGAUCGAUUUCUGGUGGGGCCACAUUCAGGAUCAGGAAAUCUGUAGCAGUCACAAAGGAGGUACGUAGAAACAAGGGUCACAGCUGCAAAGGCUAUCAUAGCUAAUGGACCUGCAAUCCACCCAAGUUGAGCCAUGCUCCACGCAAGGGAUAAUACCCCUGCUCCUAUCACCCCAGCUAUAACAUGAGCCGUUGCAGUCCAUAUUGUCCCAGUUCUUUUCAGAGCCUGUCCUGAUGCUUCGUCAGAGCAAGAAAAGCUUCUGAGCAAUGGCGAUUCUUCUGUUUCACCACCCAUCUCUCUCUCUCUCUCUCUC
rnacentral:misc_RNA from 1 species